rnacentral:misc_RNA from 1 species
UUAAAUCUUAAGAAUGGGUAUCAUAAUUUUCAUCCUUGUUCUUCUUUUUGUAGACUCAUGUUUCAACAUUGUUGAAGGAAGAAUCCCUGGUGUUUACUCUGGUGGUUCAUGGGAAACUGCACAUGCUACAUUUUACGGCGGAAGUGAUGCUUCUGGAACAAUGGGCGGUGCGUGUGGUUAUGGAAAUUUAUACAGCCAAGGAUACGGAGUUAACACAGCAGCACUGAGUACUGCUUUGUUUAACAAUGGAUUAAGUUGUGGAGCCUGUUUUGAACUUAAAUGUACAAAUACUCCUAAUUGGAAAUGGUGUCUUCCUGGAAACCCUUCCAUUUUAAUCACAGCUACCAAUUUCUGCCCACCAAAUUACGCGUUGCCAAAUGACAAUGGUGGCUGGUGUAACCCUCCUCGCCCUCACUUUGACCUCGCUAUGCCUAUGUUUCUCAAACUUGCUCAGUACCGCGCUGGCAUUGUUCCUGUAACUUAUCGCAGGAUCCCAUGCCGAAAGCAAGGAGGAAUCAGAUUUACCAUCAAUGGAUUCCGUUACUUCAACUUAGUGUUGAUCACGAAUGUAGCAGGUGCAGGGGAUAUUAUUAAGGUUUGGGUAAAAGGAACAAAGACAAAUUGGAUUCCAUUGAGCCGUAAUUGGGGACAAAAUUGGCAAUCAAAUGCGGUUUUAACUGGUCAAUCACUCUCUUUCAGAGUUAAAGCUAGUGACCAUCGAUCUUCUACCUCAUGGAAUAUGGUUCCUUCUCAUUGGCAAUUUGGCCAAACUUUCAUCGGAAAGAAUUUCAAAAUAUAAAAUUAGUAAGGGUAUUGUUAUUUUUAAUUUGUGGGAAAACUAGGAUAUUUCAGAGUGUUGUUCACCUUAGGAAAAGAAAUCGAGUCCUCACUGAAAAUUCAGAUAGAUAAUUAAUUAAAUUACUAAAAUUUUUCGAUAUUUUUGAGUGUGUAUCAACAUUUUAACCUAAGUAUGGUUAAAUGGAGAGAAAGGUUGAAGUG